GCUAAAUGCAGCCCACUAGUCAUGGGAUAUGGCCUGCCAGAAGUUUCAUUAAUGCCCUUACUUUUGCUGCCUAUUUGCAUGUGGCCCACAAAUCUGAGGUAUCUUGAGGUCUGUUGUGCUGCCAUACCAGUGCCUCCGUUCUUUCUAACAAGUCAUGCUGCCUGGGCCUGACAUAAAAGUGAUUGAACUGGAUCUUUGAUUAUAACUUGUCCUACUUCAAAUUCAAAUCAGUGGAGAUUUUGGUCCAGAAUAAUUCAUAAAUAAGAUGCUUGGUCACUUUUUAAAAACUGUUUGGUUCGUUUCCCCUCCCCACACAACUGGUUCAACAAUGCAAGGCCCUGACUUAAAAUAAGCCUGUCAGUUGUUAUUCCAGAAGAGCUGGUUUAUUAGAAAAACAGGCAAAACCAUUGUCUCAAGUUCAGAGACAGAAUGUUUUCCCAAGAGUCAACAAAAAAUUGGCACUGCAAAAAUGUCAUUGAUGCUACUUUAGUUUCAAGAAUGCAGUGUGGUGAACUUUUGAUACAAGAGUCAUAAAAUAAACCCAUGAUCUGCAUUGUGUUUUGAAUUCAAAUUGUUCAUUCAACAAUCUUCCUCUUUUCCAAAUAAAAGUAUACGAUUGUGGCAUUAAAGGUAUGGUUCACAGAAUAUAUAUACUCUUGCAGACACAUUAGCUUCACUUCUUCAAAGCACAAUCCUCACAUUUAUUUUGAUGUGGUCAAAUCACAACACUGGGUGUGUGUUUUUAACUUCUCUUUUUUUUUUUUUACAUGAUGAUGAGCUUAUCUUCUGAAGUUGGAGAGCAUUUUGGUCAUCUUCAGUUGAUUGUGAGCCCCUAAGAAGAGAACCUGCCCUUUCAUAAUGCUGUAAAGUCUUAGAUGGAUGCAGGAAGAGGAAGAAGAAGACUCUCCCUAUACCUAUUCACAUUAGCCCACAUGAACAUCUGAAAAGGGAUUAAUUCCUACUGUUAAAGUGCCUCAGGAAGAGCAAGGUUGUGAAGCAUUUCUGACUGAAAAAAUACAAGUCUGUUUCAAAGAAUGCUUUAUUUUGAAGAGUGAAGAAACACAGGAAAUAGACCACCAGAUCCAGCAUGUACCUCAACAAUUAAAAGGGAAGUUACAAGUGCAGGGGGGAAGAGAAAAUUGUUCCUUACUGGAAAGAAGCUAUAAGAAAAGUGGUAGUUGUUAUAAGUUUUGGUUUCAUAUGGAUAUGAAUGGAAAAGAGCUUCACUUCUAGUUAGUAAAAGAAAAUACAUCUCAUUAAAACAUUGUAUCUACACAUACCAUAUUUAUAAAAAGAACGUAUGUAUGUAUCUAUGUAUGUAUCUAUGUAUUUAUCACAUUUCUAUACCACCUGAUAUGUACAUCUCUAGACAGUGUACAAAAUUUAAAAUAUUUAGAAGUUACAAAUUAAAAUAAUUGACAAUAACAAUAGAAUAAAAUAGACAUUAAAACAAGGUUUUAAAAUUAAUAAACUUAAUUCUAAUUAAAAGCCUAUGAAAACAGGAGAGUCUUGAGGUUCUUCCUGAAAACAAACAGAGAAGGAGAUGCUCUUAAUUCAGUAGGGAGCAUAUUCCAAAACCCUGGGGCAGCCACAGAAAAAGCCCAGUCAUGGGUCGCCACCAAAUGAGCUGGUGGCAACUGCAACCGGACCUCUCCAGAAGAUCAUAAUAGGUGGCAGGGUUUAUUACAAAGGAGGUGCUCUCUUAAAUAGCCUGGACCUAAGCCAUUAAGAGAUUUAUAGGUAAGAACCAGCACUUUGUAUUUCACCCAGAAACAUAUCGGCAGCCAGUGCAGCUCUUUCAAAACCAGUGUUAUGUGGUCCCUUCAUAUUGUCCCAGGGACCAAUCUGGCUGCCACAUUCUGUACCAGUUGUAGCUUCCGGACUACAUACAAAGGCAGCGCCAUGUAGAGUGCAUUACAGUAGUCAAGCUUAGAGGUUACCAGCAUAUGUACCACUGUUUUAAGGUCAUUUGCCUUUAGAAAUGUAUGUAU